GAAUGCAAUAUGGCACAAAAAGUGCAGUAAUAUGACAGGUUUACAAACUACAAUACAAAUAUACCCCUUUAAUGAUACAUUAUACAUCUCUUCAUACAAAACCAGCAACACAUAUUAUUUCAUUGAUCAAUAUAGUAGCAAUACAAGAUGGUAUCAAAUCAAAAGAUUGAGAACUAGCAUAAAAGCAUCAUUACAAAGUCACAUUUUCUGUUUUCCAUCAUUGUUGACAGUGCAGAAAAAAUGAAUGAUCCAAAAUCUGCAGCUGUUGCAGCAAUAGUUUCCACUUCCUCCCAAAGUGCAGCCUCCCUCCACACCUCCUUAGCCUUGUCACAACUUAAGAAUAAGUGCCAUUCAUUUUCAUAUGUUGAUUCACAGUGAGGACACAUAUCCGUACAUUGCACUCUUCUUGGCUCCAAUUUGUUGCUUCUGGAUUUAACAAGUCUGAAACCUUCAUAUGCUCUUUCCCUGGUACUAUCAUGCUAGAUAAAUAUGAAUUAUCCUCAUAUCUUAGCCAUGGUUCCUGCCAUAUAUUUAUCUUGCUUCCCUAACAAUCUUAAACACAAUGAACUAAUUUCAAAUGAGAAAACUUCAAAUGCUCCAUAGUGGUGUAUUUGUCCUUUUCCAAUGAAAGAACUUCAAAUUCUUCAUAGUGGUGUCAAAGCAUAUCUCUUUUGUCUUGUGAAAUCUUGGUCUGUUAAAAAUUAUGCAGAAGAUUAUCAAGCUAUGUGAAUCAAAACCAAUCCAAACAUUCUUCACUUAUGAUGCACAUACUAAUACUUUCCUUUGACAAAUGUCAUUGUUCUUCCAUUUCCCAAGUGAACCUGCAUAAUGACAUCCAAAUAAGCAAGAUUCAACAAAAUUAAAACACAACCCAACACCAAUACAAAAGAAUAUAACAAUAGCAGUGAGCAACAUUGAAAGCAUAAUGACUCCUCCCAAAUUCACUUACUCUUCAAUUGAAAUAUUGAAAUAAGCCCCAUCAAAAUUUGUACUAUGAUUGAGGAAACACAUCUCUGGAUUGUUGUUGUUGAGGAACAAUGGGUUUUGUUUCUCUCUCAUUCAGAUCAGAGCAUCACUGUCACCGAAGCCCCCGUCGGUCGCCGUUGUGAAACAUACAUUCUCUUCCGGCCGCCACUGUCAUCGUUGUCGUCUUCAACAAAACAGAACAUGGUCGGAUAUAUCAUGUUCACAGUCAGUUUCUUCAAUAUUGAUGUGUGUUCGAUUUUUAUGGAAUGAGAGAGAGCAGUGCGACAAUGGUGAAGAAAAGAAGGAGGAAGACGAUGGGUUGUGAAGAGAUAAGAGAGAGAAUAUUUUGUCCUUGAAAUUAUCAAGUUACCCUUGCCAACAUACAAAAAUUACAAAAUUAACCUGUUGUCAUGUGAAAAUAAUACUUUUUUAUUAUUGUUGUCAAAUGUUGUCAAAAAAUUAGAUGUUAGAAUAUCAUUUCUC
rnacentral:lncRNA from 1 species